rnacentral:rRNA from 1 species
CUUGGUCAUUUAGAGGAAGUAAAAGUCGUAACAAGGUGUCCUUCCCAGCGAACCUUGGAAGCCUUUGCACCCCGUUCCGCGGGGGGUCCGGCGACUAUAAAGAAGGGCCAGCAAGUCGCUCCGGCGGCAACAUGAUCGAAUUGCGGGGAUCUCCUAAAGCCUGAGGGUACCAACCUGGCGUCGAAAGACCCCGGGGGCCUGUGAGAGCAGGGCGGUCACAACCCCUCAGGAUACUACAGUGGACGAUCCGCAGCGAAGCCCCUACCGGCCUUGGACCCACGGGGAACGCUCACAGACUAGGUGGUUAUGGGUAGGGCCUCAUGGCCUCGCUUAAGAGAUAGUCGGGCCCUGAGAGAAAUCUUGGGGGCUGUUCGCACAGCGUGAAAACCGUUCCGUAGGUGAACCUGCGGAAGGAUCAUUACAGAGUUCAUGCCCGAAAGGGUAGACCUCCCACCCUUGUGUAUUUAUACUUUGUUGCUUUGGCGGGCCGCCGCAAGGCUACCGGCUCCGGCUGGUGCGUGCCCGCCAGAGAAUAUCAAACUCUGAAUGUUAGUGUCGUCUGAGUACUAUAUAAUAGUUAAAACUUUCAACAACGGAUCUCUUGAUUCUGGCAUCGAUGAAGAACGCAGCGAAAUGCGAUAAGUAAUGUGAAUUGCAGAAUUCAGUGAAUCAUCGAAUCUUUGAACGCACAUUGCGCCCCUUGGUAUUCCGGGGGGCAUGCCUGUUCGAGCGUCAUUUCAACCCUCAAGCUCUGCUUGGUAUUGGGCCCUGCCAGCAACGGCAGGCCUUAAAAAUAGUGGCGGUGCCUUGAGGCCCUGAGCGUAGUACAUCUCUCGCUAUAGGGUCCCCAGGGACGCUGGCCACCAACCCCAAUUUUCUAUGGUUGACCUCGGAUCAGGUAGGGAUACCCGCUGAACUUAAGCAUAUCAAUAAGCGGAGGAAAAGAAACCAACAGGUAUUGCCUCAGUAACGGCGAGUGAAGCGGCAUAAGCUCAAAUUUGAAAUCUGGCCCUUUCAGGGUCCGAGUUGUAAUUUGUAGAAGAUGUUUCGGGUGUGGCCCCGGUCUAAGUUCCUUGGAACAGGACGUCAUAGAGGGUGAGAAUCCCGUAUGUGACUGGGUGCCUACGCUCAUGUGAAACUCUUUCGACGAGUCGAGUCGUUUGGGAAUGCAGCUCAAAAUGGGUGGUAAAUUUCAUCUAAAGCUAAAUAUUGGCCAGAGACCGAUAGCGCACAAGUAGAGUGAUCGAAAGAUGAAAAGCACUUUGGAAAGAGAGUUAAACAGUACGUGAAAUUGUUGAAAGGGAAGCGCUUGCAAUCAGUCUUGCGCCUGGGCGAUCAUCCGAGGUUCUCCCCGGUGCACUCGUUCAGGCUCAGGCCAGCAUCGGUUUCUGUGGUUGGAUAAAGGCCUUGGGAAUGUGGCCCCUCUCGGGGGGUGUUAUAGCCCUCGGUGCAAUGCAGCCUACGGGGACCGAGGACCGCGCUUCGGCUAGGAUGCUGGCGUAAUGGUUGUAAGCGACCCGUCUUGAAACACGGACC